UCUGAGGUCCCCGGGCCCUGGCAGGAAGGGGCCGCCCCGGAAGGGGCCCGGGGAGCGGCGCCGGCUGAAGGCGGUGGUGUCGGAGCAGCUCAGCCGCGACGUGCUCAGGUGGGCCGGCUGAGAAAGAAGACAGUGUGCAGAGGCUCCAAACCUAAGACAACUGACUGUGUCAUGCAUAUUCAGGAAGACAAGUAGAGAUGCAUCUGAAGAGAUGAGCUGACGAGAGAAACAGGGCAAGCAACUACAGAUUAAAGGUCGGUGGCGUCACCGGCAUCCAGUUAUCCAAACCAGAGAUUUUCCACUGUCACUUCUAUGUCCAGUCAACUCGGGUUUUAUUACCUACGUUUUAAAUUCAUCCUCUGCCGCCACUGACCCUCACCUGGCUCGUGCUCCUGGGGUCAUGUUUGUACUGUAAAGGAGUUUGCGUCCUCACUUCAAGUCCCGCUCUGCCCAACGAAUGACUGAUCACUAAAAGGUGGAUUUCAAGCAGUUGACUCUGCUCCAGGAGUGGGGUCUCCUCUCCUCUUCUUCUCCUCCAUGUCUGCAGAUGCAGAGUGAGACUCCAGGGUGUGUUUUUGCCUUUAAACCCCCUUGCUGUGUACCAUCCCUAAGUACCCUGUGGAUCAUUUGUACUUACGUUGUAAAGAACAAAGCCAGAAACCCCCUCCUGCUUUGCUUUCCUGACCAACUCUUACAAAGUCUUUAAAGAUCACAUUUAAUAAAGUACCUCAUAUACA